rnacentral:rRNA from 1 species
UGGCCUUGAAUUGUAGUCUUGAGAUGUGCUACCAACGGAGGCGCAGAUGUAAGCCUCUUGGAAAAGAGCGUCAGGGAGGGUGAGAGUCCCGUAUGUCAUCUGCAGUUCUCUGUGCACGGUACAUUUUCCAAGAGUCACGUUCCUCGGGAUUGGAGCGCAAAUUGGGUGGUAAAUUUCAUCUAAAGCUAAAUAUUGGUUCGAGACCGAUAGCAAACAAGUACCAUGAGGGAAAGGUGAAAAGGACUUUGAAAAGAGAGUUAAAAGUGCCUGAAAUUGCUGAAAGGGAAGCGAAUGGAACCAGUUGUUCUUGGCGAGUAUUGGUGUUGUCUAAAGUGAGGGCUUGCCACUUCAGCGCAAGUGUGGUGGCAGGUUUUGAUCUGGAUGCGAUACUGCAUCUCGCCUUGCAUGUCAACGUCAGUUCAUAAUUGAGGAAAACUCUAAGGACUUGGUAAUUUGCUUCCGGGUGACUGAAUGUCUCUAGUGGAACUCAUUUUUGAACUGCUUUUGUAUGUCUUGUUGCAAUGCUCUGCGUGCUUGCCUGUGAUCCGGUGCUUGCUCUGUUUGGCAUGGGGUUGCUGGUGCCUGGAGCAUGUCCUUGACAUAAGUACGAUGACGAAAUGGUUUUAUUCGACCCGUCUUGAAACACGGACCAAGGAGUCUAACAUAUGUGCAAGUUCACGGGCGGGAAAACCUGCUUGCGCAAUGAAAGUGACUGCUGGGAUAUCUGCACCAGCAACCGACCAAUCAAUUGUGAGAGGUUUGAGUAUGAGCAUAUCUGUUAGGACCC